CUUCUUUCAAGGUGCCCCAGCUCCUUUCCUCCCUACUGUUCUAUCUGUGUGCCCCAUCCUACCCGGUACACCCUUUCCAAAGAAGCCUUCGGGAGGAAAGAUGAAGAUGGUCACAUACUCUUAUACCCCUGAGUUCUCUCCCCAGAAAGUGAACAUGAACACAUUUGCAAAACAUUUUGGUUUUUAAUCUCCCCAAAUCCUUCCCAUAGUUCACGUCUCCAAGUCAGAGAUCAGUGUGCACUCAGUGGUCUGUGCCAGGAUACUCCCAGGUACAGGGCUGCCUUGGAAUUCUGAACUGUCCUCCUUGCACACCUAGGACCCAACUGCUUGUGCUGCUUAGUAACUUUGCCCUUUAUAAAUCAUUUCCACCUGCAUCACUCCUUUCAGAUCCUCUGGAACUUGGUGGUGUUGGUUGGCCUGUUUAUAGACGAGACUCAAAAAUGUUAAGGCAUCAUGCCUAAUGUCGGUCCUCUAGUGAGAACGGAGCUCAAACUCCAGCUGCAUGUCUUGACCCCAGAGCCUGCUUGGUCCUCCUUAUCUUGCAGCCUUCUUUUAGAAUCUUUUAUGUUUAAUCCCUCAUGACUGGGCACUUAAAACAUGGUUCUGAUCCAGAUGCUUGCUGAAGAAUUUGGGAACCUGGGAAGUUCCACCUUCAGGGUAAAAAAUACUUAAAAAAAAAAAAUUCAAGGCAUUCUUUGGCAUUUUAUGGCAUGAACAUAUAUACUUUAGGUGUAUACACCCUUUUAUAUUGGCGGGUUUUAGUGACCCAAAUGGGUCCUUCUAUGUUCUAGCAAGACUUGGCUUGGUGUAACUCUUCGACACCCCUGACCUGCUACUCAUUUGUGGCCAUUCCACCCAUGAGCACAGGCCUCCCCGAGGCCAGCCUUAAGGUGGGUCAGGAGCCUUGCAUGUGAGGUAAGUAGCUGGCAGACAUUAGCAUGUUGGCAGAGUUAACUUUUCUUGGCUUUGUUCUUUUAAAGAAUUUUAUAAGAAAGCAAUUUCAAAUGAAUCAUUUCAUCUCUCUUGAGACACAGUCUCCCUGUCUCUACAUCAGGCCUGACUCUGGUUGGUCUUUCUGGCCUCCUGAAGAGGCCAGGAGUCCUUCCAAGGUUAGCAGGCUUCUGAGCUCCUGGGGGAAGGAGAAAAGGAGAACUAGGUCGCACUCGCUGUGCGUUGGUUGCCUGGAAUUGUUCUCCUGGUUGUGCUCAGUGAAAAGGACAACUUGA
rnacentral:lncRNA from 1 species